rnacentral:rRNA from 1 species
AGCGAACGCUGGCGGCAGGCUUAACACAUGCAAGUCGAGCGGGCACUUUCGGGUGUCAGCGGCGGACGGGUGAGUAACGCGUGGGAACGUGCCCUCUGGUUCGGAAUAACUCAGGGAAACUUGAGCUAAUACCGGAUACGCCCUUUUGGGGAAAGGCUUGCUGCCGGAGGAUCGGCCCGCGUCUGAUUAGAUAGUUGGUGAGGUAACGGCUCACCAAGGCGACGAUCAGUAGCUGGGCUGAGAGGAUGAUCAGCCACACUGGGACUGAGACACGGCCCAGACUCCUACGGGAGGCAGCAGUGGGGAAUAUUGGACAAUGGGCGCAAGCCUGAUCCAGCCAUGCCGCGUGAGUGAUGAAGGCCUUAGGGUUGUAAAGCUCUUUUAUCCGGGACGAUAAUGACGGUACCGGAGGAAUAAGCCCCGGCUAACUUCGUG